CACGUAGGGGGCGAGCGUUGUCCGGAUUUAUUGGGCGUAAAGAGCUCGUAGGCGGUUUCGUAAGUCGGAUGUGAAAACUCCAGGCUCAACUUGGAGACGCCAUUCGAUACUGCGAUGACUUGAGUCCGGUAGGGGAGUGUGGAAUUCCUGGUGUAGCGGUGAAAUGCGCAGAUAUCAGGAGGAACACCGGUGGCGAAGGCGGUUCUCUGGGCCUUACCUGACGCUGAGGAGCGAAAGCAUGGGGAGCAAACAGG
rnacentral:rRNA from 1 species